rnacentral:rRNA from 1 species
UACGGAGGGUGCAAGCGUUAUCCGGAUUCACUGGGUUUAAAGGGUGCGUAGGAGGGCAGGUAAGUCAGUGGUGAAAUCUCCAAGCUUAACUUGGAACUGCCGUUGAUACUAUCUGUCUUGAAUGUUGUGGAGGUGAGCGGAAUAUGUCAUGUAGCGGUGAAAUGCUUAGAUAUGAACAUAGUAACACCAAUUGCGAAGGCAGCUACACCUAACAUCAAU